rnacentral:rRNA from 1 species
UAUGGCCACAUCAUGUUGAAACAUUGGUUCCCCUAUGAUCACUAAAGUUAAGCAACAUUGAGCCUGGUCAGUACCUAGAUGGGUGACCGCUUGGGAAUACCAGGUGCUGUAAG